rnacentral:ncRNA from 1 species
UUUAACGAGAGUUUGAUCCUGGCUCAGGACGAACGCUGGCGGCGUGCCUAAUACAUGCAAGUCGAACGAACCAAA